rnacentral:tRNA from 1 species
GCGCCGGUAGCUCAGUCGGCAGAGCACCGGACUUUUAAUCCGGGGGUCGCAGGUUCGAUUCCUGCCCGGCGCACCA